CCGCGUGUUUACGAGAAUACGUGUUUACCAACACGUUUCUCGUAGAAGUUUUGACUCCGAUUGAAUUUAAACGUCUAAUUUAAUGUGAAAAGUCCGACCCAUUGCGUAACUUUGCACAAUUGCGCAACAGACGCAGCGACAUAUCUGCAUACCGAGUUAUCAAUGCCGCUUGCGACGAUAACGUAUAUCGGCAACGAUUUCUUCUUCGCAAAGUUGUGCAACUUGCUCGUCUUAUGUUGACCAAUUUGUUGCAUAAUUUUACAAAAAAGUUCGCAAUUUCUUUUUUCUCAUUUCAUUAGUGUGUGCGCUUGAGACAAAAUUUGAAUGUAAUUAAACGAAAUGCGCGUAGCAACAGGUGAGAAUAUCGUCUUUUUGAUGAGACAUCAAUAUCUGUAAACUGUGUACUCAGCUGUUUUUUGUGAAAGAAAAAAAAACUGCGGUUGUUUACUUAAUUAGUGUCCAAUUCGAAGCGCUUAUUUUCGAGGCGUAAUUAGACACUGAUUUGAAACUGACGGUUUUCCGACGCACGCAUAAUUUUGCACGCACGGUGAACGGUCCGAUACGACCAAGAAUAUCUUCAUACGCAGGUCGCAUCCAAUGGCCAUCACUCACGUGGCCAAUCUAUACGUCGAGUGAAUGCACGCGACCCAGAAAUUUCCAGACAUUUUGCGUCGUACAUAAGUCCGCAGACUAUGUUUAGGUGCAUUUUCUUUUUCUACAUACAAGAUACGUAUGUACGUAGCGCCGGUAAUAAUAGUAUCACGGUGAAAUAAAUUCGAUCUGAGCUCCGUACUUAUGUACGAACCGUUCAUUAAAAAACUCGCAUUUUGGGUCAAAAUUAAAAAAAAAUAUUAUUGAAUAAGACGGAAUUGCAAUAUAGGUUCAACAUUCGUAUCGUUGAUGACAGCAGAUGUCAAUGUCGAUCCAUAAAGAAGCGUACAACGAUUUACAAUUCGCCUUGUAAAAAAUACUUUGUGAAGCGACGUAAAACGUCUCGACGGAAGCAGAGGAUGAAACUUUAAUUAAGAAACUACGAUCAAACAACUUCGAAAGAUGAUUCGAAAGGACAUCUGACGCGGAUGCGAAAUGUAUACCGUUAAUCGAUCUGAUCCUGAUAGAACGUUCACAUCUAAUUGGCUCCGAUCUAUUCUCAAAUUGAAGAUCUAGUCGAGAGCGGAGUCGAUAAUCUUCAUGGACCGCUUCGAAAACAGGUUUCCUCGCUGAGCAAAAGCACCGGAAGAGAAUAGUUACUACAAACGCUUUAUAUAUUUGUUCAGGACGACACCUCAAAACGUCGCUCCGAUGCAAAAACCGACGCUGAAGAAGGAGAACUGUGCGGUGAUGGAAGAACGCAGAAAGAAAUGAGAGCUUUCUCAUAACUCUAAUAAUCGUACGUCACAUUAAAACAUUUUAACGUUUAAAUAAUUAUUUAUUAUA